rnacentral:rRNA from 1 species
UUUGUAGGAUACCCUCGCUUUCCUGCUCCUGUUGAGUUUAUUGCUGCCGUCAUUGCUUAUUAUGUUCAUCCCGUCAACAUUCAAACGGCCUGUCUCAUCAUGGAAGGCGCUGAAUUUACGGAAAACAUUAUUAAUGGCGUCGAGCGUCCGGUUAAAGCCGCUGAAUUGUUCGCGUUUACCUUGCGUGUACGCGCAGGAAACACUGACGUUCUUACUGACGCAGAAGAAAACGUGCGUCAAAAAUUACGUGCAGAAGGAGUGAUGUAAUGUCUAAAGGUAAAAAACGUUCUGGCGCUCGCCCUGGUCGUCCGCAGCCGUUGCGAGGUACUAAAGGCAAGCGUAAAGGCGCU